rnacentral:rRNA from 1 species
UGGGGAAUCUUGCACAAUGGGCGCAAGCCUGAUGCAGCCAUGCCGCGUGAGUGAAGAAGGCCUUAGGGUUGUAAAGCUCUUUCACCAGGGAAGAUAAUGACGGUACCUGGAGAAGAAGCCCCGGCUAACUCCGUGCCAGCAGCCGCGGUAAUACGGAGGGGGCUAGCGUUGUUCGGAAUUACUGGGCGUAAAGCGCGCGUAGGCGGAUGAUCAAGUUGGGGGUGAAAGCCCGAGGCUUAACCUCGGAACUGCCCUCAAAACUGAUCGUCUCGAGUACGGGAGAGGUGAGUGGAAUUCCUAGUGUAGAGGUGAAAUUCGUAGAUAUUAGGAAGAACACCGGUGGCGAAGGCGGCUCACUGGCCCGUUACUGACGCUGAGGUGCGAAAGCGUGGGGAGCAAACAGGAUUAGAUACCCCCGUAGUCC